rfam:Brassica oleracea var. oleracea cultivar TO1000 chromosome C1, whole genome shotgun sequence
AGCCCAUGGUGAGGGCAUUCCCUACGGUAGGUGUUGAAGUGCUCCCAUGCAUCACAGAACGGUUCAUCAUGGAUCUGUUUAAACGUGGAGAUCUUGUUCCUCAAGGC